CUUCUAGUCAGCAAAUUUCCAGAAGGCGUGGGUGAAACAACAGCCUGGGUGUUGGCAUGUCACGAGUUAUCAAGCGCGAUUAAAGAUUCAAGCACAUUGCUCACAAUAUAAUACAGUAAAAUCCAAGCCAUAAAAGGGGACUAUUUUUUUUUAAAUACGCCAACGAAGGAAGAGAUAGUGGACGACUGGACGUGCAGUCUUGGUACAACGAAUUCAAGGCAGCAAAACUGUCUGGUGGAACCAGGAAUUUAAAGGAAUGUGAGUUUGAGGAAUAAUGGCACGAAAUUUGACCUCCACGCUUAUUACGAAAGUCUUGCCAUGUGUUUCUUGUUUCCACCUGGAGUUUUGUCGUAUUUGUGGAAAUUCAAGGACAAUCAAGACAUUUUAUGAUUUUCAUCGUUUAUUUAGAAUAUUUUGCGUGCUUGAAAUACUUGCGCGUCCCUCAUUAGCAUGGCUUGCGUAAUGCCUGAAAUGUUAUGCAUGUUUCAUUACAAUGAAUUAAGCGGCGAUUUAUCAAAUCCUUCAUCUGUAGUUUUGAAUGAUUGAUUGGUUCGUUAUGAUGCAUCGCGUUUUAUGAACUGAUUAUGUUAUUGUUGGUAAAAAUCUUUCUGGCCUUCUCUCGUUCGAGUUUCAACCCAAAAAUUGACCGGGAUUGUGAGCGAUU